GACGAACGCUGGCGGCGUGCCUAAUACAUGCAAGUCGAACGAGUGGCGGACGGGUGAGUAACACGUGGGAACCUACCCAUCAGAGGGGGAUAACACUUGGAAACAGGUGCUAAUACCGCAUAGAAGGAUGGACCCGCGGUGCAUUAGCUAGUUGGUGGGGUAACGGCGCACCUAGGAGACGAUCACUAGGUGGUCUGUGUGUAUGACCAGCCACACUGGAACUGAUACACGGUCCAGACUCCUACGGGUGGCAGCAGUGGGGAAUAUUGCACAAUGGGCGCAAGCCUGAUGCAGCCAUUCCGCGUGUAUGAAGAAGGUCUUCGGGUUGUAAAGUACUUUCAGCGAGGAGGCGUUACUCGCAGAAGAAGCACCGGCUAACUCCGUGCCAGCAGCCGCGGUAAUAC
rnacentral:rRNA from 1 species